rnacentral:rRNA from 1 species
GCGGCCUAUCAGCUUGUUGGGGAGGUAACGGCUCACCAAGGCUUCGACGGGUAGCUGGUCUGAGAGGAUGAUCAGCCACACUGGGACUGAGACACGGCCCAGACUCCUACGGGAGGCAGCAGUGGGGAAUCUUGCGCAAUGGGCGAAAGCCUGACGCAGCCACGCCGCGUGCGGGAUGAAGGCCCUAGGGUUGUAAACCGCUUUUAACAGGAACGAAAAUGACGGUACCUGUAGAAUAAGGUGCGGCCAACUACGUGCCAGCAGCCGCGGUGACACGUAGGCACCAAGCGUUGUCCGGAUUUAUUGGGCGUAAAGAGCUCGUAGGCGGUUCAGUAAGUCGGGUGUGAAAACUCUGGGCUUAACCCAGAGACGCCACUCGAUACUAUUGUGACUAGAGUUCGGUAGGGGAGACUGGAAUUCCU